rnacentral:rRNA from 1 species
AUAGUACUAUAAAACUGCAUAGUUUAAUAGUUAAAAUUUCGGUGGUAUAAGAUGGGCAUGCGUAGGAUUAGGUAGUUGGUGAGGUAACAGCUCACCAAGCCGACGAUCCUUAGGGGUUCUGAGAGGAUUAUCCCCCACACUGGUACUGAGACACGGACCAGACUCCUACGGGAGGCAGCAGUGAGGAAUAUUGGUCAAUGGACGAGAGUCUGAACCAGCCAUCCCGCGUGCAGGAUGACGGCCCUAUGGGUUGUAAACUGCUUUUCUACGCCAAGAAACCCACCUACGUGUAGGUGGUUGACGGUAGCGUAGGAAUAAGCAUCGGCUAACUCCGUGCCAGCAGCCGCGGUAAUACGGAGGAUGCAAGCGUUAUCCGGAUUCAUUGGGUUUAAAGGGUGCGCAGGCGGGCUUGUAAGUCAGUGGUGAAAUACUGCCGCUUAACGGUAGAACUGCCAUUGAUACUGCAAGUCUUGAAUAUGGUUGAGGUAGGCGGAAUGUGUCGUGUAGCGGUGAAAUGCAUAGAUAUGACACAGAACGCCAAUUGCGAAGGCAGCUUACUAAGCCAUUAUUGACGCUGAGGCACGAAAGCGUGGGGAGCGAACAGGAUUAGAUACCCUGGUAGUCCACGCCGUAAACGAUGUUCACUCGCUGUCUGCGAUACACAGUAGGCGGCUGAGCGAAAGCAUUAAGUGAACCACCUGGGGAGUACGAUCGCAAGGUUGAAACUCAAAGGAAUUGACGGGGGCCCGCACAAGCGGAGGAACAUGUGGUUUAAUUCGAUGAUACGCGAGGAACCUUACCUGGGCUUAAAUGUAGAUUGCAUAGAGUAGAAAUACUCUUUCCCUUCGGGGCUAUUUACAAGGUGCUGCAUGGUUGUCGUCAGCUCGUGCCGUGAGGUGUCGGGUUAAGUCCCAUAACGAGCGCAACCCCUAUCGUUAGUUGCCAGCGGAUAAUGCCGGGGACUCUAGCGAGACUGCCACCGUAAGGUGAGAGGAAGGUGGGGAUGACGUCAAAUCAGCACGGCCCUUUAUGUCCAGGGCUACACACGUGUUACAAUGGCAGGUACAAAGGGCAGCUACACAGCGAUGUGAUGCUAAUCUCUAAAGCCUGUCCCAGUUCGGAUUGGAGUCUGCAACCCGACUCCAUGAAGUUGGAUUCGCUAGUAAUCGGAUAUCAGCAAUGAUCCGGUGAAUACGUUCCC